AUGGCAGCCCAGCCUAGGCGCUGGCUGCCACCACCGCCGGGUGUGAUGAAGGUUAAUGUCGAUGGUGCAGUGGCACGGCACAAAAGGGGAGGUGCGGUCGCAGCUCUAUGCCGGGACUCCAAUGGCGUGUACUUGGGUUUGUCGGCAAUGGUAUUUUUUGGAAUCACCGACCCGGUCAUCUUGGAAACUUUCGCGUGCAGAGAAGCACUGGCUUUUGCAGAUGACCUCUCCAUCUAG
rnacentral:rRNA from 1 species